rnacentral:rRNA from 1 species
AUUGAACGCUGGCGGCAUGCUUUACACAUGCAAGUCGAACGGCAGCGGGGUAGUGCUUGCACUACUGCCGGCGAGUGGCGAACGGGUGAGUAAUAUAUCGGAACGUACCGAGUAAUGGGGGAUAACCAAUCGAAAGAUUUGCUAAUACCGCAUACGUCCUGAGGGAGAAAGCGGGGGAUCGCAAGACCUCGCGUUAUUCGAGCGGCCGAUAACUGAUUAGCUAGUUGGUGGGGUAAAGGCCUACCAAGGCGACGAUCAGUAGCGGGUCUGAGAGGACGAUCCGCCACACUGGGACUGAGACACGGCCCAGACUCCUACGGGAGGCAGCAGUGGGGAAUUUUGGACAAUGGGGGCAACCCUGAUCCAGCCAUGCCGCGUGUAUGAAGAAGGCCUUCGGGUUGUAAAGUACUUUUGUUAGGGAAGAAAAGGGAAGUGCUAAUACCACUUUUUGCUGACGGUACCUAAAGAAUAAGCACCGGCUAACUACGUG